UCCAUUUGAACGAAACCCGACCUAUUUGCAAAAUGGCAGGUCUAAAUGGGCAUGAAGGGUAGGGAUGGCAGGUUUGGCAAACCUCACGUGGUGGAAUGAAGUGUUGACUGUUGAGUUUGGGGCACUGUAUUACUUUAGACUUGAGUAGAGAUUUUCACGGGUGUCAAACUUCUUUGGGAACGUAAACACACCCUGCCCUGCGGCACUGAAAAAGAUUACAUAGAAACAACCAAACCAAACCUCUCCCUCCCUGUGCAGAGUCCAGAUCAGUGAGGUCGUAUCUAGGAUCUCCCAGAAAAUCUUUUGAUGAGAGACUGAACUAUAAUACAGAUUCUUUAAACACGAGGCAACAAGGACUGAGUUUAUAGACUCAUGAUUCCAAUGAUCUGUACCUAACCCCUACGGCCUACCCUAUGCUUUGCAUGUAGCUCUAAUAAUAUUGUUUCGUCAACUCACAACAAAUACAUCGGAUUCACAUCCAGUGCAAUAGAUAGGGUAUUGCACGGGGUGCAAUAGCUUUAAUAUCAGCCAUGGAUUAAAUCUAAUGCUCAGAAAAUUGACACGUUAUAUCUCCACGCUGGCAAUUCGCGUGCUUCAAUUUCUCUCCUCUCUUUUUUUUUUUCUCUCUUUUCACUUCAGCAAUUCAGCUUUCCCAAAUAUGAGUUUCAGAAAAAAAAAAAAAGAAAAAACUCUCUUGGAGACUCUAAAUCCAUGGCCGAAUCUCAGUGGGCCUCAGCUCAUCCCACACCACCACCACCACUGGCGAUGCGUCCCGGUCUAGUCUUCUCCUCUUUCAAGACCCUGGGGGUCAGUUAGGGGAAACAAAACAGUAAAUGCAGCUGGAGCUAACUACAACAAAACUAAAACCAGUGCUGCCAACUAAACCCAGUGCCGAGAGGGAAAUCAAUGCAGAAUAAGAAAGCAGCAGCCCACAUGCUGCAGGCAGCAGCUAUCCAGUGCAGAAAAACCAGUGCAGAGGAAUGUACAACAAGAAGAAAGAGACACCCCAAGAGUGGAACUAAAUGAGUGCAUAUGAUUUUUUAUUUACAAUUGAGUAGGGUCAUGACACAAUUUUUUUAUUUACAAUUGAGUAGGCGCAUAAGAUUGUUGAAGCAUUUGAUCUUGAAGCAUGCAAGACUUUUUAUUUUUAUUUUUUUGGUUAUUACAUGAGAAUUAGGUAAUAUGAUGGUAGAAAAAAAAUUCUCUAUUGUAUCAUGUUAUUAUGGCCUUGUAAUUAAAGAAUAUAAUUUAAUACAAUUUAGUUCAUUUUUUGGAUCAAA